rnacentral:misc_RNA from 1 species
GUGAAUCAUCGAAUUUUUGAACGCAAAUUGCACUCUCUUCGGAGAGUAUGCCUGUUUGAGGGUCAGCCUAAAAAAAUCGACAUUGUUGCUGUUUUCGCCGUUAACUUCGGCGGAAAUUGGGGUAUCUUAAACCUUUGGGUUUUAAGCGGCUUAAAAUUUUCUUUAAGAUUCCACGAAAGAUUCUAAGAUAUUUACUUCUUACACGAUUAAGGUAUCGAUCUUUAUUAGACGUGGCCGUUGCAUCGGAUCACGU